ACACCAGCGGCAGACGGGUGAGUAACGCGUGGGAACGAACCUUUUGGUUCGGAACAACCCAGGGAAACUUGGGCUAAUACCGGAUAAGCCCUUACGGGGAAAGAUUUAUCGCCGAAAGAUCGGCCCGCGUCUGAUUAGCUAGUUGGUGAGGUAAUGGCUCACCAAGGCGACGAUCAGUAGCUGGUCUGAGAGGAUGAUCAGCCACAUUGGGACUGAGACACGGCCCAAACUCCUACGGGAGGCAGCAGUGGGGAAUAUUGGACAAUGGGCGCAAGCCUGAUCCAGCCAUGCCGCGUGAGUGAUGAAGGCCCUAGGGUUGUAAAGCUCUUUUGUGCGGGAAGAUAAUGACGGUACCGCAAGAAUAAGCCCCGGCUAACUUCGUGCCAGCAGCCGCGGUAAUACGAAGGGGGCUAGCGUUGCUCGGAAUCACUGGGCGUAAAGGGUGCGUAGGCGGGUCUUUAAGUCAGGGGUGAAAUCCUGGAGCUCAACUCCAGAACUGCCUUUGA
rnacentral:rRNA from 1 species